UCGCGAAAACUUCACAAUGGAGGCAACUCCGAUGAGGGAAUUCCUAGUGCUAGUACAUUAGUAUUAGCUUUUCUUUAGUAUAGAACGCUAAAGGAAUAAGGGCUGGGUAAGACGGGUGCCAGCCGCCGCGGUAAUACCGGCUGCUCGAGUGAUGGCCACUAUUACUGGGUUUAAAGCGUCCGUAGCUUGACUGUUAGGUCCCUUGGGAAAUCUUCACGCUCAACGUGAAGGCGUCUAAG
rnacentral:rRNA from 1 species